rnacentral:rRNA from 1 species
ACUCCUACGGGAGGCAGCAGUGGGGAAUAUUGCACAAUGGGGGAACCCGUAGCUGNAGCCAUGCCGCGUGUGUGAAGAAGGCCUUCGGGUUGUAAAAGCACUUUCAGUAGGGAGGAAGGUAGUGUAGUUAACACCUGCAUUAUUUGACGUACCUACAGAAGAAAGCACCGGCUAACUCCGUGCCAGCAGCCGCGGUAAUACGGAGGGUGCGAGCGUUAAUCGGAAUUACUGGGCGUAAAGCGCAUGCAGGCGGCCCGUUAAGUCAGAUGUGAAAGCCGGGCUU